rnacentral:pre_miRNA from 15 species
CCCUCCGGGGCCCCUUCUCCCAACCCUUGUACCAGAGUCCAUCAGAGACCCGGUACGGGCUGUGGGGGACGGGGAGUCGGGGCU